UAAGGAAUAUUGGUCAAUGGACGGAAGUCUGAACCAGCCAUCCCGCGUGCAGGAUGACUGCCCUAUGGGUUGUAAACUGCUUUUAGCAGAGACGAAACGCCUUUAUUUAUGAGGGUCUGACGGUAUCUGCAGAAUAAGCACCGGCUAACUCCGUGCCAGCAGCCGCGGUAAUACGGAGGGUGCAAGCGUUAUCCGGAAUCACUGGGUUUAAAGGGUGCGUAGGCGGAUAUUUAAGUCAGUGGUGAAAUCUUGUCGCUUAACGAUAAAAUUGCCAUUGAUACUGAAUGUCUUGAAUUGGGUUGAGGUUAGCGGAAUGUGACAUGUAGCGGUGAAAUGCAUAGAUAUGUCAUGGAACACCAAUUGCGAAGGCAGCUAGCUGGGCCUUGAUUGACGCUGAGGCACGAAAGCGUGGGUAGCGAACAGG
rnacentral:rRNA from 1 species